AAAGAAGAGAUCAAAAAGGUAUAGGUAUCUUUUCCAUGAUGGCAAUCUUCAAGAAGAACACCACUGCCCUGUUCUUGGCGGCUCUCGUGAUCCUGGCUUCUCUUCUCUCCUCAUGUGAUGCGGACCAAGAUUGCGUUGUGAGGACUCUUCUGAACUGCAUAUUUUCGAGGUGCAGCCAAGUCUGCGGCUAUAAGCCAGGAGCCCACUGCACCGAUAUUAGCAAGUGCUGCUGCCCAGUCGGAUCGCCGUCAAAAUGAUGACUAAGAUAAUUAAUUAAGCACCAUGCAUGCAUGCAUGGUUGCAUCUGAAAUAACAUUUGAUGCAUGGAUGCAUCUGAAUUCUGAUCUGGGAACGUUAUGUCGUAUAGCCAAAUAUAACUUUUGAGGAUUCAACUAAUAAAGCUGUCCCGAGUUUGUCGUUGUGAUGUUU